rnacentral:tRNA from 1 species
GGGGAUAUAGCUCAGUUGGUAGAGUGCUUAUCUUGUAUGCACAAGGACCUGGGGUCGAUCCCCAGUAUCACCA